rnacentral:rRNA from 1 species
UACGUAGGGGGCUAGCGUUGUCCGGAAUCAUUGGGCGUAAAGCGCGUGUAGGCGGUCCGGUAAGUCCGCUGUGAAAGUCGGGGGCUCAACCCUCGGAUGCCGGUGGAUACUGUCGGGCUUGAGUACGGAAGAGGCGAGUGGAAUUCCUGGUGUAGCGGUGAAAUGCGUAGAUAUCUGGAGGAACACCGGUGGCGAAGGCGGCAUCCUGGACCGAUACUGACGCUGAGGAGCGAAAGCCAGGGGAGCAAACGGG